UUUUUUGUGUGCAUUUGUUUCUUCCUGGCUCUCUUUAUACAUUAAGUGUUGCUGACUUGAUCUGACCAAUGAGGGACUGGCUAGAAUACUGAGGGAGGAGCCACCUUUCAAAUACAGAAUCCAAGAUGGCUGCCGGAGAGAGCGGAUAUGUCAACACGAUAUGCUGUGGUUUUAGUUUGGUGUUAAACUGAACGACUCUGUUGGCCUAAUCUACUGACACUAUUCCUAGGUUGGGUUGAGGUAACUCAGUGUAUUGAGGUAGAACUCUAAUCUGAUUAGUUUCACUAAGGUGCUGAGCAGCAGAACCCGAUGUAUUUAGUUAUUGGCCAGGAAAGCUUAGAGUCUCUUUUGUAACUGAAGAAAAGGGAGGUAUGUCAACCACACCCAACUUCACAGCAGAGGUUGUGACAUUUAGGAGAGGCCAGAAAAUAAUCAUCAGAUCCAACCACCAGAUACAGAGCAGGAGGAGCUGUGAUAUUGAAGAUGACCAGUGUAAGAUUCCUCGUUCCUGUGCUGCAGUAAACUGCAGGAAAUGGAACUGAAAAGGAGUUUGGAGGCGGACAGAGGGAACACUGGAACUCCACACAUGAAUUCCUUCUCUUUUUCUAGACUCGUUUCUGAACAGGAAGCUUUUUGUUACUUAAUAUUACUUAUUAAAGCAGAUGUAAUAGCGUAGAACUGUUAGAGAUGAUGAGGAGACCUGCUUUGAGGUUUCCAGUUAAUCAAUGCAGACAGACCAGUUGGAGAACAGAAACAGAAAUGUAGACGCUGCUGAAAAAGGAAUGGACUGAAGAAUUCCCUUAGAGAUAAAGAUAAAGAAAUAUUAAAGCAAAUAAAGGUUUAAAAUACUUUGA